CCUACGGGAGGCUGCAGUGGGGAAUAUUGGACAAUGGGCGAAACCCUGAUGCAGCAACGCCGCGUGAAGGAAGACGGUUUUCGGAUUGUAAACUUCUGUUCUUAGGGAAGAAUAAUGACGGUAGCUAAGGAGCAAGCAACGGCUAACUACGGGACAGCGGCCGAGGUAAUACGUAGGUGGCAAGCGUUGUCCGGGAUUACUGGGUGUAAAGGGAGCGCAGGGGGGAAGCGAAGUCAGCUGUGAAAGUUUACGGCUCAACUUGUAGAUUGCAGUUGAAACUGGUUUUCUUGAGUGAAGUAGAGGUGGGCGGAAUUCGGGGUGUAGCGGUGAAAUGCUUAGAUAUUCGGAGGAACUCCGGUUGCGAAGGCAGUCAACUGGGCUUUAACUGACGCUGAGGCUCGAAAGUGUGGGGAGCAAACAGGAUUAGAUACCCCGGUAGUC
rnacentral:rRNA from 1 species